rnacentral:rRNA from 1 species
GAUGAACGCUGGCGGCGUGCCUAACACAUGCAAGUCGAACGUGAGGGGGUAGCAAUAUCCUUGAAAGUGGCGCACGGGUGAGUAAUACGCAGGUGACCUGCCCUGGAGUGGGGGAUAACAGCUAGAAAUGGCUGCUAAUACCGCAUAAUACGAGAAUGCUGGGAAGUGUUCUGGUAAAAACUCUGGUGCUUCAGGAGGGGCCUGCGGCCGAUUAGCUAGUUGGCGGGGUAAGAGCCCACCAAGGCAGUGAUCGGUAGCUGGUCUGAGAGGACGAUCAGCCACACGGGAACUGAGACACGGUCCCGACUCCUACGGGGGGCAGCAGUGAGGAAUAUUGGGCAAUGGGCGGAAGCCUGACCCAGCAACGCCGCGUGGAGGAAGACGGCCUUCGGGUUGUAAACUCCUUUUACGGGGGAAGAGGAAGGACGGUACCCCGAGAAUAAGUCACGGCUAACUACGUGCCAGCCGCCGCAGUAAAAC